rnacentral:rRNA from 1 species
CGGAACGUGCCCGAUCGUGGGGGAUAACGAGGCGAAAGCUUUGCUAAUACCGCAUAAGAUCUAUGGAUGAAAGCAGGGGACCGCAAGGCCUUGCGCGAACGGAGCGGCCGAUGGCAGAUUAGGUAGUUGGUGGGGUAAAGGCUUACCAAGCCUACGAUCUGUAGCUGGUCUGAGAGGACGACCAGCCACACUGGGACUGAGACACGGCCCAGACUCCUACGGGAGGCAGCAGUGGGGAAUUUUGGACAAUGGGCGCAAGCCUGAUCCAGCCAUGCCGCGUGCAGGAUGAAGGCCUUCGGGUUGUAAACUGCUUUUGUACGGAACGAAAAGCCUCUUUCUAAUAAAGGGAGGUCAUGACGGUACCGUAAGAAUAAGCACCGGCUAACUACGUGCCAGCAGCCGCGGUAAUACGUAGGGUGCAAGCGUUAAUCGGAAUUACUGGGCGUAAAGCGUGCGCAGGCGGUAAUGUAAGACAGAUGUGAAAUCCCCGGGCUCAACCUGGGAACUGCAUUUGUGACUGCAUUGCUGGAGUGCGGCAGAGGGGGAUGGAAUUCCGCGU